rnacentral:lncRNA from 10 species
UUUGGAGCUUUAAAAUUUGACUUAAAGCUGGAUUUUGGAUUUGUGUCAGGCCUGUAGACCCUACUUUAAAAAAAAAAAAAAAAGGCUGGUUUGCCUGUAAAAUGUUGAUAUAAAUGCUGGAAGGGCAUGUUUCUAGGGUGAAAGUAAUGACUCUUCAUUAAUGGACAAAAUAUUCCAGCAAUAGACUAAAAAGAAAACAGUCAAAUCUUCUUAAUCUCCUCUUAUGUUCACUGCAGCAUUAUUCAUAAUAGCCAAGUUAUGGAAAGAGCCAAGUCCAGUGACAGACGAAUGGAUAAAGAAAAUGUGGCAUAUACAUACAAAUGAAAUAUUAUUCAGCCUUGAAAAAGAAGAAAAUCCUGCCAUAUGCAACUGCUUGGAUGACUCUGGAAAUAAGCCUGUCACAGAAGAGUAUGUGCUGCAUGAUUUCACUUAUAUAAGGAUCAAGAGUUGUCAAGAAAAUAAGGACUUGCAGCUAUCUAUAUUUUUCAAUACAAAAUUUUUGUUAGCAAUAUUUAAAGAAACAAUAUUGUAAUUAAAUAUCCUUUAUGCUGGCUAUCAAUUUUUAUAUAUAUUUUACUGGCAAAAGUAUGUCUUUGUCUGGCAGAGCUAAAAAAGAAAACACAAACCUGGGAAAUUAAUAAUUUUGAAAAUACCUUAAGGUUGGAUAACAUAAUUUGAAAUCCCACCAUUUAGCCUUAAGGGCUUGGAAGAAAUCACAAAACUGAGUUUCUAUAUAUCAGAACAAUGAUCAAAUAAUCAAACAUUGCCAUAAGGGUUGCCUAUAUUAUUAUUUAUGUAGUUUGUCUACAAAUCAAUCUCCAACUUAUUAGUCAAUAAUUAUAUUCAGAUGUCUUUUUCCCCAUUUUCAAUAGCAGUAAAGAUAAUGAAAAAAUUAAUACAUAAAAAUGUUUAAGAAUCACAUAAGGAGUCAUUUGAAGACUUAUUUUUGACAAUACGUUUGCCUUCUUCAAAAAGAGAAAUGCAUAACACGAAGCAUUUAGGAAAAUAAAUAAGAACAUAGAGAACAAUGACAAGUCCAACAGUAAAAUGAAAUGUAUUUAGAAGGUUUCCCUCCACUGGAGAAAACUACUUACACAAUAAUUCAUCAAUCAUGAUGAGAAUUAGUUACAAGUUUCUCUUAGCUGAUGUCUCACCUAAAAUACAUGAAUUUCAUUUAAUCUACUUAAAUACGACAUUUUUAUUUGAAAAGCUAUACACACUCACAACAUGGAGUGAAGUUCAAGUAAGAUUAUUCCAAAUUUCUAAUAAUUCAAAAUUGUAUUGAUGUUUCAUCUAAAUAAAUCUUAGUGUGUUAUACUGGAAUUUGAGUAUAGCCAUAAUUAGUCAAAUUAUCUCUGAAUCUGGUAAUAAUUUAUUUUGUCAGGUGUAAAUUCUUUUAAGUUAUUUUUCAAAUUUAUUCAUUAUUUAGCAACCUUCAAGUCAUAUCAGAGUAUUAAACAUAUUUCUACAAAACACCUAGUAGGUAUUUUGCCCAUAACAAAAGGCAAAUUGGAAUUAAGUUCCUAGGGACAUAUGAAAACAAUUUUAUAAUACUUAUAUGCACCUUGUACAGUAUUAUAACCGCAUAUUUCUUAACAUUCUGCUUUCCAGUAAUUCACCUUAAUUUAAUAAAACUAAUACCAAACUGUGCUGGAAGGCUUUCUUAGGAAUGAUAUCACUGUAAGUUUAUUCAUUUCAUCCCUUUAACAUAAAUAUAUAUCACUUAAAUAUAAAUUGUAUUAAAUUGGGCAUUUGUUUAACAAAAAUAUAACUGAAAUAUCCUCUAGUUAGCAGAAGUAGAAUUUAUUGCAUGACAACAAUCCAGAGUGUGAUCAGGACAUUAAAAAAAUAGGCAACCAAGGCAGACCCUCACCGCUACCAGCUCACCUUCUAAAGAUGAUUUGGCACACUUCUGAGCCUGUGUCCCUAUGGAGCGGGUCUAGAAGGCUGUAAAAUAUUAUGUCUUUUACACAGCGUGCAGCUAACUGGUUCAGAAACGAAGUAAAGACAAAGUAAUAAAAGUAGAAUGCUAGUCUUUAAAAAGCAGUUCUUAGUAAUGCUUCCCUUUGGCAAUUUUUAGGUUUUUACUUUAAAUUUAACAGUUAAGUGUAUAAAGACAUAAUUUUGUGUAUAGCAUGUAGCACAUGAGAGCUUUCUUUGCAGUCGAGUCUCCUUAGAGAAUUUACAGAAUCUUCUUCAGUCAAUUGCAAUUCUUAUGUUCCACAUGGUUACAACACUUUUAUUUCAUUAACACCUAAUUUACAAGCACAAACCAUUCUAAAUGUAUCAGAACAGAUGUAGGAAAUAAUUAUAAUUUAGAUUGAAAUUUUCAUCUCCUAGUCACAUAAUUUUAACCCAUCUAUCUUAAGAAAAAAAAAUCAAGAGGAUUCUAAAAAGAUUAAAAAGCUCUCCAAUUUAAAUAAAGAGGUGCCAAAUUUAAGUUUUUAUUUUCUUUCAAUUUACCUGUUACUGCUCAGAUGUACCAUACCUGCUGUAUCGAGCUGCAUGGUUAUAAUGGUGCAUAUGCUGCAUUGAUAUGACAAUCUGCACCAAUUUGAAUACAGUUUUCCAUGGAGUCUCCCUUUAUAGCCCUUGGACAUUUCGUUUAACGCUUUGAGAGCUGUUUAAAAUUUCUAUUCUAUCUUCUAGAGAGAAAUCAAUCAUUUUACUUGGUUGACUUGACAUUUAAUUUGCUAUGUAUAAAAAUAAAUAUGAAAAGAAAAUAAUCUGCCAUUAUACAAAUACUAAAAUAACUUAAUGUUUGCUAUCAUUUACCAAAUCCAGUCCACUUGGUCAAAAUAAUAACAAAGCCUCACCUCCUACCCGUGAACAGGCUUCGUUGCUUAACUACAUGGAAUAACCACUUGCUCUGGCCUUAAAUAGACACACACCUUAUGAUUUAGAUGUGCUAAACUGAUCCUCACUCAGCAUUAACUUUUAGCUCCAUGUAGUCAGCAUGUUCCAUCAUUUGUUCCCAUUGGCCUUAUAAACAAAUCUGAAUGAUAGAAGUAUAUUCUCAGGCAUAAAAUCUAAUAAAGAUGUUUGCCUGAGACUGUCUUCUGCCUCAUUUUCAAUCCAUCUAACCACAUUUUGAUUCAUGGUAGCUUACAUUUACUCCACUUCCUACUCAUAUUCUUGUCUUACUAAGUAACUGGUAAACUAAGGCCACC